GACGAACGCUGGCGGCGUGCUUAACACAUGCAAGUCGAACGAUGAAGAAAAGAAUCGAAGCUUCGGCAGAAAUUCAUUUCGGAUUAGUGGUAGACGGGUGAGUAACGCGUGAGCAACCUACCUCUUACAAAGGGAUAGCCUCGGGAAACCGGGAUUAAUACCAUAUAACAUUGUGACGAAGCAUUUCGAUGCAAUCAAAGCUACGGCGGUAAGAGAUGGGCUCGCGUCCCAUUAACCGGAUGGUGAGGUAACGGCUCACCAUAGUGACGAUGGGUAACCGGCCUGAGAGGGUGAACGGUCACACUGGAACUGAGACACGGUCCAGACUCCUACGGGAAGCAGCAGUGGGGAAUAUUGCACAAUGGAGGGAACUCUGAUGCAGCGACGCCGCGUGAGUGAUGAAGGAAUUCGUUUCGUAAAACUCUGUUCUAUGGGAAGAAAAGGACUGUACCAUAGGAGAAAGCUCCGGCUAAAUACGUG
rnacentral:rRNA from 1 species